CCCGCACACGGCCCCCCGCGCCUUCCCGGCCGGGCGCGGACGUGUCCGCGCUGGCAGCUGCUGCCCCUAGCUCUGUGCAGGGCACAGCCUCGCGCCGGCACCUGGAACAGGGCCCAGGAGCUGGAGGCCCCUCUGAGUCAUGGUUUCCAGUAUCUCGCACCCUGGCCUCCGGGCCCACGGCUGCGUCAGGGCUGGGAGUCCUUCAGGGGCCCGGCCUCCGCAGCCCACGCAGCAUCUGGCCAUCGCAACGCAAAUGUGGGCAGUCUCUGCUCUUGCCCCAUCGGUGGGAUAUGCUCUCAGGGCUGAAGGCAGACACGGGCUGGACCAUUCCCCAAAGCGGCCAUUCGCUCCGUUUAGAACUACUUCAGCGUAACAGGCACCGAGGACCUCAUUUCGUAGUGUUUCUGCACAGCGGUCUGUGGGGGAGACAGGACUCUGUUGCCAAAGUUUCAGCCUCCACCAGCCGGCAGAGUGUGCUUGGCCACGCCCGUCCACACCCUGCCUCUCGCUCCCUAAAGGACCCACUGCGGGCCUCCCAACUUCCGGCUGAUUUCGGCUCAGUCUGCACCACUGUUUUAAGACAUUCAGGGUUUACGCGUCAUCUGCCGCUCCUGACUCCGAAGGUGAAGGCGGGGGUUUCGUCGCCCUCGGUGUUGCCUCCAGACCCCGUCCCCCAGCCUCUCCCAUGUCAGGCACCACCCGGCUCAGGUGGCCCGGCCCAGCCGUGGGGCCCCGGGCUGGUCGUCCCCAGGGCCGGCUGUGCCCUCCCCCACCAGAGGAGCAAGUCUGCCUUUGUUAAGACUUAGUUCCCACGGCACGAGUGAGAGGGGCCCGGGGCACCGGGUUCCUCCGACCCCGGGUGAGCCGGUCCGCCCGUCACAGAGGGGACUCUGUCCACGUGGCCCAGCGCCUCUCCAGCCCCCACCCCUCCAGCUCCUCCAGCAAAGUGUCGCCGGGUGCGUGGAUCCAAGUCCGAGGCUUCUCUGCACGGGUUCGCCCGGGGAACCGGGCUCCGGCUGGCGGGGCCGCUCCUCCGAGCAUGGCACGGCACGUGGAAGGGCCAGGCUGGGGCUGGCGGCACCCGUGGACGCAGCCACGGGCUGCAGGUGUGCACUACUUCUGCCCGCACCGCUCCCAAAGCUGCACCCUAAUAUGUUGUGAGUUCGUAUCCUGCCUUGUGCGGAUCAACGACCGCCUCGAUUUUCGAUUUUCCAAGUGCUCAGCUCACGGGGCUGUUGUGGAUUCUGCCCCCUCCCUGUCCAGCUGACGCGCUCCGGCGCUCUCCUGGGGACGCCCACCCGAGCCCCUGCGCUCAUGCCCGGAUGUGGUCUCUGCAAGCCUGUGUCCAGGAUGCGGACCGCCCCGUGGGCGUGCUCUCCAGCGGGCACCUCACAUUCUAUAGGAGCCUCAUUCAGAUCUGAAAAUACCUUCUUCCUCUCGUGCUGGACUGAAAAAGUGUUUGGUUUGGAACUUCCAGUAGGAAAUUAUUGUCCUAAAAACCAGAAAGGCAUUGCUCAUGGUGUUCUGGGUUCCGUGUUGCUAUUUAGGACUCCAGGGCCAUUCCGACAUCCAAACUCAGGCAGCUGCUGGUUUUCUCUUCGGCCUCGGAGCCCAGCAGGCCGCGCGGGGGAGGGUCCACUCGGGGCGCCCGCGGCUUUGCUCUUGCAGCCUGGAGAGCCAGGAGCUUCUGUGCGUGGGAGCUCACUUUCUGCUUUCUGUUUCUGGAACUCCUUGGGUCAGACGUGGGGCCGUGUGCAUGUGGACCCCUAACUUGUGUGAACUCCUGCUUCUCCAGAGCUCACUCUGCUUCCUAGGGUAUUUGCAUACUUUUUUAAAGCUUUAAAAAUGUUUAUUUAUCUUUGAGAGAGAGAGAGAGAGAGCAGAGGAGGGGCAGAGAGAGAGGGAGACACAGAAUCGGAAGCAGGCUCCAGUCUCCGAGCUGUCAGCACAGGGCCUGACGUGGGGCCUGAACCCACGGACCGUGAGAUCAUGACCUGAGCUGAAGUCAGAUGCUUAACUGGCUGAGCCCCCCAGCUGCCUUAGGGUAUUUCAAUUUUGCCUUCAACUCUUCCUGUGAAUUUUUAUUUGUGCCGUCAUUUUUCAAGUUUCCAAAUUAAUUUAAUUUUAAUUUCUUUAAUUUUUUAAUUUCCAGGAGCUCAGCACUCUGAACAAUUCCUUUUACCUCCACUGUGUUUUCUCUGAUUAUGACCACUUUUCGUAUCUUUCCACAAUCAUGAGGGUUUCCCCUGCUCCCUGGAUUUUCCGUUGCUGGCAAGGUCUGGCGGUUGGCCCUCUGGGGGAAAAAGCCUGACUUAGGAUGCUGUCCAAUUUCCAUAGUGUAAAUUCUCUCAUCACGGACAACUGCAAGUUACCGGCAACUGGCUGCCCAGAUUCCUGAAAACUGAACGAAUCCCUCUGAGGGGCCGGCGCAAGGCAGCUCCCGUCCAGGGCCGGCCGCAGCCCCCGAAGGUGCCGGGCCCGCGGUCCUCCCGGCAGCCGGAGCACGUCCGGGAGGUGCCGGCGGAGGGUCUCGGGCAUUCUCUCCGGCUCGGCCGCGUCGCGCGGCUGUGGGUGCUGUGGGGGCGCCGAGGGCCUCCCCGUCUUGGGACCUGAGCACGACGCCGCGCGCCUCACACACCGGGAGAGCUCCCGCCGGCUUCCUUGUGAGCCCUGUCUCCUCCGUCCCUGCGGGCUCCCGCUGUGUCCCCCUUGCUGUCCUGCUCGCAGAGUCAGGAGGAAAGUUAGAAGAACCCAGCCCAGAUCCCUUAGAGGACUGACCCCUAGAGUGAUCCUGUCACUGCGGCGGCGAAAGCCUCGCCUUUCCAGAGAGGGCCACCUCUGACCCUCUGAGCUCAGGGACAACGGCCACUCAGUGGGGAGACUCCCUUUCUCUUCCAAGGAGACUGACUCUCACUCUCGAGUCCCUGACCUCCCCGCGCGGGACGGGUGGCAGGAAACACAACCACUCUUUAAGGGGACGGUCAGGAGGCCUAGGUCCCUGACCGAGGGGCGGGAGGGCCACAGACCCCACCCCAAGCCCAGAGUCCUCGAAGGCGGGCGCUGCCGUGUGUCCUCCGUGCCGCGUGGCCGGCAGGGACUCGCCUUCUCCUCCCUCGGACGCGCUGGCGGGUCCCACCGCGCGGCUGGGCUCAGGGAGUGGAAGGCAGUGGGUCCGGACGGGCGGUCGGAGCUGGUGACACGUGGUCGGAGGCGGCAGUGCAGAGAGCCCGGCAUGGCGGUGAGACCACCAGGGAGCGAGGGGCUGGCUCAUGGGCAAGACUCCGGAGAAUGUUCUGGUCGAGUCAUUUUCGGGGGUGCUCAAACUGCACGUUCAUCUGCAUGCAAACCACUCCUCCCUGUAAUUUUGGGAGAAACCAGCAGCCGAGAGAGGGGCGGGCGGCAGGCUGGUGUUUCUGAAGGACAGACCACGUCUCUCCAGUGUCAGGCGACCCCGCCAGAUGAGUCACGCAGGGGUGACUAACUCCUGCCUCGUUUCCAGGACGCCUUCCCAGCGCCCAGUGCCAAGAAUGCAUUCCAGAGGGAUGCCGGUCCGCGCUGCUCAGCCCCACGCGCCCAGAAGAUGGGCGCCCGCGGGUCCUUGUGGGGCCCCACGUGCCGCCGUCCUGGGACGACGGUGGGAGUCGGGAUGCCUGCUCUGCGUCUGCCUGGGCCCCUGGGAAGCCGGGGAGUGGGAGCCCCACCCGCCCCACCCUGGCGGGCGGGAAGGAGACCAGUAUUCAGGUUGACAGAAGCUGAGAACCUUCCUUGUCUGCCUCUUAAUUAUGUGACCACAACAGCUUUAAUUGCUGCCCGCUAUAAUGAGCAAUUAAAAAUGUAAAAUGUUUACCUGGACCGAGGCUCCUACGCGCUAUGGCGGAGGCUUGACGGCGAGGAGGCUUUCCAACUUAGAUGUCGCUGAGAACCGAACCCAGCGGUGCCUGUGGCUGAGCCCCGGGCUCGACGGGGCGUCCUCGGCGUCGGCCUUUCUGGUCGAGUCCGGCGCAUGGUCUUGGUGGCCGCGUGUCCCAGCCCCACCCCGGCGUCCUGGGAUGCGCUUCCCCCAGGCUCCCAGGAGGCGUGAGGAUAAGGCAUUUUGUCGCGACCACAGGUCAAGUUAUCAGGCCCACAUUUGAGCCUCAAACCUCCCUUGUUCACUUCCCUCCCCCUGUGACUUCACAUACGAGGGCAGUGUGGGUAUUCGUCCUGACGUGCGUGUGUUUACACGGGACACAUCAACAUCAUUCCCCCUCAGCAGGAUCCAGAGACGGACCCAGUUCCCCAAAGAUCAGAGCAAGCAGCUGCCGGCCUGAUUUGCUGGUGUCGCUUCUCCAAAGCUUACCUGAGGACACAACUAAGGUUCGUGGCGAAUCCCGCAAAAGGCCACGGCAAGGCUGGUGUGGCUGCACGAAGGCCCCACGGCGCUCGUGGGCUGCGGGGGGGCGGGGGGCUCCUGCGGGCGUGUGCCUCACUCCAUGCGGGUCGAUUGACUCCAACACGGUUUGGAUCUGAGAGGCGCCCUGGCUCAGAUCCAGGGUCGCUAAUUAUUAAAGAAGCACUCGUGGUU